rnacentral:lncRNA from 1 species
AUUGUGCACAUCAUAUCAGAUUUUCAUAACGAUUAAUCGAUCCAAGUAGUGCCAAUUGGGUUUUCUACAUGGAUUCCUGCAGGCAUAGGGUUGUUUAUGUUGAUGUUCACUUUUAUCGUGAUUAUCAUACUCCUACCUGGGUAACUCAUAAAAUUCAGCUGCUUCAACUGUUCCCAUGAGAUCAUAGAAUUUUGCAGUGUAGGAAAUCACCAUAGUUGAAGAAUUCUGAAGAGGUACAAAAAUAACCAAGGACAACACUGAUGUGUUUGGUUUACUAGAGAAAUUGUGAAGAGAGAAAUAAGUGAGAGAGAGUUUAAGAAGAGAGAAAUAUGAUAGAUUUGAUGAGUUGUUUGGUAUAAGAGAGAAAGAUGAGAAAUACAAAAGAGAUGAAUAUAUUACUUUUUUGGAUUGACAAAUAAGCCCCUUACUUAAAAAUAUAUUUAGUUUAAACUUAAAUUUAAUUUUUCUGUUAAAAUUUGUUUCAUGUCACGUUAAUUAACAACUUGUCAUUGUUGUUACCGGCAACCAUGAGUCUUUUUUCAUGAAGAAAAAAAAACAAGAGACAAUCAUUUUUAUUUUCUAAAAAAAAUAUAUUUAAAUUGUGUUUCUUUUUUUUAGCAAUAAAUUGUGUUUCCUUGGUACAAUUAAUCAUAAAGAAAAUUACUUUUUUAGAGAUAAAAAAAAUUGUAUUCGUAUUAAUUAAGAUUUAGAGGUAAAAAAAAUUGUUAUUCGUAUUAAUUAAAAAACAAAUAUGAAGUAUAUGAACUAAAAACUUGUCAAAAAAAGAAUAUGAACUAAUUGUUGCUAGUAAAACGUGGUAACAAUUAAAACGUAGCACUUUCCCUCGAAAAAUAUUAAAACGUAGUAUGUGACUCCUUGCAUUAGACAAACUGGUACAGUGUUAACGUACGUGUGUGUAACAAUAAUUUACAAAUGAAAAAUAAAAACUAAAGCGAGGGUAGAAACGUAAUUGUUGUGAACAGUCAAUACUCUCUCCUCAUUUCUUCUCAAUCCAGCCAAGAGAGUAAAAAGUGGGAAUUUGGUCUCUCUUAUUUCUCUCUCUUUAAUCUCUCUUCUUCACCAAACACAAGAAAAACUCCAUCUCUUCUCUAUAUCUCUCUUUUCUCUAUCUCUCUUUCUUAUUUCUCUUCAACCAAACAGAGUGUAAGGGGUGACCUUCAGGAGAGUCAAGUUUCAGAGAAAAAAUAAGCUAGAAUGAUAGAAGAUAGUUCUUGGAACAUCUUGAGAGAAUUUUCAGAAAAGUGAUUCAUUCAAACAAGUAUUUCAUAGAUCAUAACACUGAAUUGAAACCAAACUGUAUAAAAGCUAGACUAAAAAAUUAAGCCAGACGUAAAUGCUAAAAAGUUUAAUAGCCCAUAUAAAUUGCGGUGGGGAUGUAUUGAACAAAAGAAAAUUGAAGCAAAACAAGGAAAUCAUCUCAAUUUGAUUUUGUCAUGAAACGUGAUAACGAGGAACAUUGGCACAUUCAUCACUCAUCAGCCCCUAAAGUUGCAUCAUAAUGUUUUGAUAUAACAAUCUUAU